rnacentral:rRNA from 1 species
AACUUUCAACAACGGAUCUCUUGGUUCUGGCAUCGAUGAAGAACGCAGCGAAAUGCGCAUAAGUAGUGUGAAUUGCAGAAUUCAGUGAAUCAUCGAAUCUUUGAACGCACAUUGCGCCCUUUGGUAUUCCAAAGGGCAUGCCUGUUCGAGCGUCAU